GGCGUCCGAGUUGUAAUUUGUAGAGGAUGCUAUUGGGUUGCCACCGGUCUAAGUUCCUUGGAACAGGACGUCACAGAGGGUGAGAAUCCCGUAUGUGACCGGCCAGGCGCCUUCUGUAUAGCUCCUUCGACGAGUCGGGUUGUUUGGGAAUGCAGCCCUAAAUGGGAGGUAAAUUUCUUCUAAAGCUAAAUACCGGCCAGAGACCGAUAGCGCACAAGUAGAGUGAUCGAAAGAUGAAAAGCACUUUGGAAAGAGAGUUAAAAAGCACGUGAAAUUGUUGAAAGGGAAGCGCUUGCAAUCAGUCUCGACGGCGGCUGUUCGGCCUCUCUUCUGAGUGGUUUAUUCAGUCGCCGCCGGGCCAGCAUCAGUUUUGGCGGUCGGAUAAAGGCGUGGGGAAUGUAGCUCCUCCGGGAGUGUUAUAGCCCCGCGUGCAAUACGGCCCGCCGGGACUGAGGUCCGCGCUUCGGCUAGGAUGCUGGCGAAAUGGUUGUAAGCGGCCCGUCUUGAAACACGGACCAAGGAGUCUAACAUCUACGCGAGUGUUUGGGUGUCAAACCCGUGCGCGCAAUGAAAGUGAACGGAGGUGGGAACCGCANGGUGCACCAUCGACCGAUCCUGAUGUCUUCGGAUGGAUUUGAGUAAGAGCGUAGCUGUUGGGANCCGAAAGAUGGUGAACUAUGCCUGAAUAGGGUGAAGCCAGAGGAAACUCUGGUGGAGGCUCGCAGCGGUUCUGACG
rnacentral:rRNA from 1 species